GAUGAACGCUGGCGGCGUGCCUAAUACAUGCAAGUCGAGCGAACGGACGAGAAGCUUGCUUUUCUGAUGUUAGCGGCGGACGGGUGAGUAACACGUGGAUAACCUACCUAUAAGACUGGGAUAACUUCGGGAAACCGGAGCUAAUACCGGAUAAUAUUUUGAACCGCAUGGUUCAAAAGUGAAAGACGGUCUUGCUGUCACUUAUAGAUGGAUCCGCGCUGCAUUAGCUAGUUGGUAAGGUACGGCUUACCAAGGCAACGAUGCAUAGCCGACCUGAGAGGGUGAUCGGCCACGCUGGAACUGAGACACGGUCCAGACUCCUACGGGAGGCAGCAGUAGGGAAUCUUCCGCAAUGGGCGAAAGCCUGACGGAGCAACGCCGCGCGAGUGAUGAAGGUCUUCGGAUCGUAAAACUCUGUUAUUAGGGAAGAACAUAUGUGUAAGUAACUGUGCACAUCUUGACGGUACCUAAUCAGAAAGCCACGGCUAACUACGUG
rnacentral:rRNA from 1 species